ACAUCAGUCGAUGACAUGCGCAGAACUACAAAUUAACGAGGGACCUGGGUUGGCAGAGGAAGGAGCUUACCUAGCAAGCGGGGCUGGCCCAAGGUACUUCCUGAGGGGAAGGACAAGAUGAUGCCCACCCUUACCCCCACAUACUCCUUGCUGUCUACAAAAACCAGAUGGACUUGCAGCUUGCAACUGAAUUGUACUUCAGCACCGGCUAUGGAACAGCGCCCUCCACCACGUCUGAAGGCAGCUUAGGGAGUGCCAGGCAUGUUGUGCGGCACACAGCGCUCAGUCCUCCAACAGAGACGAACAAUCAGGGGGACUCAACCAGUGGAAAGAAAGAAGACAGUGUCGAUCAGUAAAGCAAGCAACUUUCCAACCUUGUCUGAAGAACCUCACCCCUUGCUGCCUCCUGCUACAGAUGACGUCAGUCGUAACC